UUUGACCCUCACCGCCAAAAACAGAAACACGAUCCUCAGUUCCUCACUAAUUCUCCCAACCGAUUCACUUCUUUCGUUUCAUCGAUUCUUCCUCGUCAGCCAUCGAUUCACCAUCGUCAGCCCUUCCUUCGUUUGAUCGAUUCACCACCGUCAGCCCUUCCUUUGUUUCAUCGAUUCACCACUGUUUCACCGGAAAGAAAGAACGAACAAAAUCCAUUCGUCAGCCAUCGAUUUACCAUCAUUUCACCACCGAAAAGAGGAAACACGAUCGAUUCAGAUUCACCUCCGAAUCACCCACUCAAACAGAAAGAGGAAACGCUAGAAAGAAAGAACGAAUAGAUCCUAUUCUCCGUCAAAUUCAGCCCUUCGUCAGCUCACCACCGACGUCCCUCUCUUCAUUGGUAUCUGGAAAAACUUUAUCAGUGGCUCUAUAGACAGCAAGACUGUGGAUCAAGAGUUGCAACACUUGUUAUAAGAUUUUACUUUUUUCUAUCAUAUAUGAUUUGGUAGAGACUUUAAAAUAUGUUAUAUCCCUCGUCGCAUUGGCAAGAACAUGGAGAACCGAAGGCGUUACCGACGACAACAGGUCGUACUUUUUAUAUAAAUAAACCUUAGAAUCUUGGAUUUUUACUUAUUAGGAGGAAAAAUUGUUGUUAACUUUGUCACCCUGAAUGAUAACUUCUUUUCCCUUGUUGGUUGUGUAUGGAUUGGAAAGUGAGUUUAAGUAAUUUGAUGUUGAUUGUGCCCUUAAUGCUACUGUAAACACGUGUUGAUAUACAAGAAGUACAUUUUCUUUCGUUCAAUCCUACCGAUAAGCGGACAAAAAUUACUUAUACUGAUCAAGUGGGUAAAAUGCAUAGAGUAAGCCAAGGUGCACCAGAACAGGUAACAACUAACAAGUACAGUUUCAAAUUACACUCUCAGCUAAUACAAUUAUGGUUACAUUCAUUAUUGUCUUGUAGAAGCCUUAAGGUACUUGUU